rnacentral:lncRNA from 1 species
AGAUUAAUCAACACAGUACAAAUAAUAAAUAGAUCGCCUGAUCGGUAAACUAACCAGUAAGCGCACCACUGUGACUACUUCAUGAUUCUGUUAUUCUUCACACUGUUGAACAUUAAUUAUUAAAUGUAGCUCAAUAGUUAUGAUUAGUAACUUAAAGUCUUACAAAUUACAUUGAGUUACUAUUGAAUCGCAGCCCUGUUGCUCUUCCCUCCCGUGCUGCUCGCGUGAGGGCGCGAGUCUGUCCGCCUUCACCCUGCUGCGCUGCUGGUAGUAGGGACGGGGCACAGGGGAGGGUUUGGGGUGCGGGGGAGAGGGUUUCAGGGUGCCAGUCUGUCCCUCCUCACUUGGCAGGAGGGUGCACGGUGGUCCCUCUCCCCCCGCGCCCCUCGGCUUUGGGGUGCCAGCCCGUCCCUCCGCUCCGCUCUCACGCGUCUCUCGGCCGCAGAGCCGGUGGAGGGUCCCGCGGGUGCCGCCCCGCUGAGGACGCGGCGCUCUCUGCGGGACUGUUAGCUCAGUCCCGUCUGGCUGGAGCCUGCCACAAUUUUGGGGACACCGCGGCACGUAACUCUUGUCUGGGACCGGGCUGCUCCUCUGGUCGGUACUGGGCAGUAUAUACGUAUGAUGACAGAGAAAGAUACAACUCGUAGAGCUAUUAACGCAAGCGCAGGAUGUGGUUUUAAGUGUAACGCAGCCAUAGGUUUGGGGGACCAUCCCAUAAGCCUGCCAUACCAGUGACGUGCAAUCAGCAGUUCGCUGUCGGGCCCCAACGUAGCGGGUUUUUAUUCUCCCAAGCAAGCGUUAGACUUGCCGGCUUCGCCGUCUCGGCGCCUCCCCGGCGGCCGCGGCGGCGCNNNNNNNNNNNNNNNNNNNNNNNNNCGCAGCCCCCUCCGACUUCGCGUCCCCUGACCCUCACCCGGGUCUUUCAGCAACCCGUGCACGAUUUCACUGCCUCUGUUCACCCUCCUCCUCACCACGGCGCCACCCGACCUGGAGGUUGGCCCUUGUCAAACAGGAGCUCGCUGUUACGUCCCCGUACCAGAGGAAUGAACCUGUUGGAGAACCACAGGUCUCUGGUUCAGUUGCCGUCGGGUGUCCUUGGGCGCAAUAAGUAGCCGGAGGCAUCAGUGAGCUGCUCAAUCAAAACCCCCUUAGAGGGGUUUGCCGUUAAUUCGGUGGUUGCUCUUGCACGUGCUCCUCUGGCGCUCCCAGUCGCCAUGACGUUUCG